CCUAUGGGAGGCAGCAGUGGGGAAUAUUGCACAAUGGGCGAAAGCCUGAUGCAGCGACGCCGCGUGAGGGAUGACGGCCUUCGGGUUGUAAACCUCUUUCAGCAGGGAAGAAGCGAAAGUGACGGUACCUGCAGAAGAAGCGCCGGCUAACUACGUGCCAGCAGCCGCGGUAAUACGUAGGGCGCAAGCGUUGUCCGGAAUUAUUGGGCGUAAAGAGCUCGUAGGCGGCUUGUCACGUCGGUUGUGAAAGCCCGGGGCUUAACCCCGGGUCUGCAGUCGAUACGGGCAGGCUAGAGUGUGGUAGGGGAGAUCGGAAUUCCUGGUGUAGCGGUGAAAUGCGCAGAUAUCAGGAGGAACACCGGUGGCGAAGGCGGAUCUCUGGGCCAUUACUGACGCUGAGGAGCGAAAGCGUGGGGAGCGAACAGGAUUAGAUACCCUGGUAGUCCACGCCGUAAACGGUGGGAACUAGGUGUUGGCGACAUUCCACGUCGUCGGUGCCGCAGCUAACGCAUUAAGUUCCCCGCCUGGGGAGUACGGCCGCAAGGCUAAAACUCAAAUGAAUUGACGG
rnacentral:rRNA from 1 species